UAUUGGGUGAGUUGGUCCACAUUUUUCUGGCAAAAAGAUAAUUGUUUUGCAAAAUAUACUCUUUCUAAUUUUGGUUUAUCAUCAAACAGGAGACCGUGGAUAUCCUUGCACCCCCUGGCUCAUGACUCCUUACCGUAAUCCCAGGCCAGGACCACAGACGGCAUUUAACUCCGCGCUUACUGCCACUAGGCAGCUGGUGGAGCGCACAAUUGGGGUCCUUAAAGGGCGGUUUCGUGUGCUCCACCGCACUGGUGGCGACAUCAUGUAUUCGCCGGAGAUGGCAAGUAAAAUAGUGGUCCUGUGCGCUAUACUACACAAUAUCGCGGUAAGGAGUAGCGUAGAGCUUCCUCAGACAGAGGAAUUGCCUGAUGAGGAGCCAGGGGUUGUUCGACACUUCGGUGGGGGGAGUGUUACACGGAGGGGGAGCCAAGUCAGGGCAAGCAUUGUUGCAGAAUAUUUCAGCUGAAUGAUCACACAAACUGUGGACGACAACAACGGCAGACCUCUCAGCCCCCUUCCCCUUCCCAGUCCCCCUCCCCUUCUCACUCCCCCUCCCCUUCCCAGUCCCCCUCCCCUUCCCAGUCCCCCUCAGCUUCCCAGUCCACCUCAGCUUCCC